AGAGUUUGAUCAUGGCUCAGAACGAACGCUGGCGGCAGGCCUAACACAUGCAAGUCGAACGCCCGUAGCAAUACGGGAGUGGCAGACGGGUGAGUAACGCGUGGGAACGUGCCCUUCGGUUCGGAAUAACUCAGGGAAACUUGAGCUAAUACCGGAUACGUCCGUAAGGAGAAAGAUUUAUCGCCGAAGGAUCGGCCCGCGUCGGAUUAGCUAGUUGGUGGGGUAAUGGCUCACCAAGGCGACGAUCCGUAGCUGGUCUGAGAGGAUGAUCAGCCACACUGGGACUGAGACACGGCCCAGACUCCUACGGGAGGCAGCAGUGGGGAAUAUUGGACAAUGGGCGAAAGCCUGAUCCAGCCAUGCCGCGUGAGUGAAGAAGGCCUUAGGGUUGUAAAGCUCUUUCAGCGGGGAAGAUAAUGACGGUACCCGCAGAAGAGCC
rnacentral:rRNA from 1 species